rnacentral:lncRNA from 1 species
CAGCUACGUCAUUUACUACAUGUGUUUAUAUUCAACGAGCUUUUCUGAAACCGGCAGUAUGCUGUUUUAAGUCAAACCGAAACAAGGAACUAAAAAAACAAACACUGAAAUGGGGGUAUCGUCGUCGAAACACACAGUUACCCUUUACCACUACACCAACAAAGAAGGAAAAGAUGCCAUCCUUGAAUCGAGAUUUAUUAAGAUGUCAACUGACCGCCGUUUGGAUGCCAUCCUUGGGGAAGGAGUUUACAUGACACCAAUGAAUCCCUUUGACCAUACCAGGGAGCAAAUUGUUCAUAACAACUGGCAGGGUUUAUCUUUCGACACUGUGAAGCACAAGACGGAUUAUGUAUUCAAAGUAAAGGUAGUGAAGGGGCCAAAUCUGAAAUUCCACAAGGAAGGCGAUAGAAACAUAUAUAUGUUUGGUCUAGAAAAUCUUAAGUUGGAAUUACUCAAAGAAUGGACACUAUACGACUGCACCUCUGCUACACCUAAGAAGAUUAAAUCAGGAAUAUUCAGCAUCGGCAGCCCUGAAUCAUCUAGCGAUGAAAAUAGCGUUGACAACAUAUCAAUAGUUGGCACAUCUCGCGAUAGAAAUAGCGUUGAAAACAUAUCAAUAGUUGGCACAUCUCGCGAUAAAAAAUAGCGUUGACAACAUAUCAAUGCACAGUUAGCACAUGGCCUUAAAUGUUUGUGUCAAGUUUCAAUCCAUUGCAGGCAUAAAUUGCAUAUAAAAGGAAAAUACAAUUUGGAAUAUGUUCUAGGUCGAAAAGAGGGAUAAUUUUGCCAAAUAAAGGUCAAAUAUUUCAUUUGUUUGUUUAUCUUGACAAAUCACAAUGAUGAUCUGUGAAUCGACUUUAGUUAUAUUUUCUUGACUAAGAUGUUGACAGGCAUAUUUACUUUACAAAACAAUAUAUGGAAAAUCACACAUGACAGAACAAGAGACCUACACGUUUACCAGACAUGACAAUCACCAGAACGGGGAUUAUAAGAAGUUGCGUUUGAAAAAAAAGAUGUUUUUUUGAUUAGAAUAUUAAUUUACAAAUAAAAGAAAUAUCCGUAAUAUGGAAACAAUACGUAUUUUUGAUAAGCAGAUGGUUUGUUGUGUGGUGAGGAAUAUAACAAUAUCUAUACAUUGUUUUUAAAUAUGGCUGCACUGAACAAAGGAUUUCGUUCAUUAUUUUUAUAAUUCCUUAUUCUGAAUAAACAUUUAUUGCUGUGUUAAGAUAAAUGGAAGUAAUAAAAUUUACGCCUGUG